CUUGGCUCCAGACCUCUUCCUCGCACGAGUUGAAGGCCCAGGAUCCAUUUCCGGGUGACAUCGUGUCUAGGGCCUCUGUCACCACGGCCCCUCGGGAAAUGUAGUCUCAGGUUAUGCGCGGGUUGAGCCUCCCUCCCCUCACUCCCCCUCGUCCUAAGGAAGCUUCUUUUCCCGCGAAACGGAAAUGACGACGUCGGCGCCGAGACAGGGACUGGGGUGAGGGCGCCAGAGGCUGAAGCAAUUGCCUUCAGCUCUUGCUGCUGUGCCUGUGACAGAUGGUGGGAUUUCCGGAUAACUAUUUACAGUGGAUUAAUCUGGCUUUGGAGUCUGUGCUGGAAAUCACUCUAUACACCUGGCUGGACUCGAACUCACGGAGAUAUGCAUGUUUCUGCUAGGACUAAAGAUCUGGUGCUUAGAACCCUAGCUGUCUGCCUUUGAACUUGACAUGUACCAGAGGAUGACUGAACGUAUCCCAUGCUUCUGCUCAAGUGCUGGAACUACAGAUUGUCCUGCUCAAGAUUCACCAGCACACCAGGAUGGAUCAUUGUUUCCAUGGACAGACACCUUUGGGAGGGGAUUAGAAAGUCUUGACUCAAGCCCAGGAUCAUGGACAUACUAAACAACUGCUCUACCACUGACCUGUAUCUCUGCCUCGGGAAGGUAUCUUUGAAAAAAGGUUGUAGAGUUUGCCAGAUCCUAUGAAUGAGUGACCUCAAAAGAGAAGAGAAGGGUUCUCCCCUCAGUGAUAAAGAUUUCUGAGGAGUUAAUGCUUCCCUGAAUAUCUCAGGAGCCGUGGACAAAGGAACAGGUAUCUCACUCUGUUAGGUACUAGGAUUACAGGUUGGACCACAGUGAUCAUUGAGUAACAGCUUCAUCAUUCAAUCUGGAGUCUGCUGUUAUGGUGUUGCUCACCAAUGGGGCCAGUACGUGAGGAGCAAGAGAACCAACACGAAGUGGACGACAGUGUGGCCUUUUGAGUGAAGACUAUUGCAAGAACAGCUGCUAUCAUCUGGGAAAUGGCAGCCUGCAAUGUUUCCACAGAGUACAGCUGGUUCCUCUGUACCUCCAAACCUCUUUCAAGUACAUCUUCGUUUCUAUGUUUUCUUUUCCAUUUUGUGUUGUAGCUGUUUUCUCUUUUAUUAGUUUUAGACGGGGUAUGUAACCCAGGCUGGCUUGGAACUUGCCCCAUUCAUCUUCUAUCUGCAUCUCAAGCUCUAGGACUGCAGAUGGGCACUGUUGCCCAGCGCAUCUUUUCCACUGUACUGUAUGGAAGAAAUGACAUCCUUGAGAUCUGUGCAACCUCCUGAAUAGCUCAGAAGCAUGUCGUGAUGCUGCUGGCACAUUACACUUUGGUAUUGCCAAUUAAUUAAGCCAAAAUAUCAUUUUGAGUAUCAGAUUACCUGAUACAUGCCAUAAAGAAACCUGUUUUCGCCGGGUGUUCGUGACACACAUCUUUAAUCCCAGCACUCAGGAGGCAGAGGCAGGCAGAUCUCUGUGACUUCAAGGCCAGCCUGGUUUACAGAAAGUUCCAGGACGACCUCCUGGAUACAGAGAAUACAGAGAAACCCUGUCUCAGAAAAAAAAGAAGAAGAAGAAGAAGAAAGAAAAAGAAAAGCAUGUUUUGGCUGUAGAAACUGUCUGAAUUCACACAUACCAAGGUUGGGAUGUGCCUUUCCCUAGUGUUGGCGUGGAUGUAAAUGCACAUUAAGGCUUUGCAUGCCAUGGUUAUCAGAAACACUUUCAUUUGAGAAAAGUUUCUUGGUCAUGCGCUGUUUUUUGUUUGUUUGUUUGUUUGCUUGCUUGUUUUUUGAGACAGGGUUUCUCUGUGUAACAUUCCUGGUUGUCCUGGAAUUCGCUUUGUAGACCAGGCUGUCCUCGAACUCCAGGCUGUCCUCGAACUCGCUGAGAUGCACCUGCAUCUGCCUUCUGAGUGCAUGUGCCACCACUGCCCAGCUAGCCCAUCAGUCUUAAGAGAAGGGUGUGGGGAUUUAGCUCAGUGAUAGAGUACUUGCCUCAAAAAUGAAAGGCCUUGGGUUUGCUCCUCAGCUAAAAAAAAAAAAAAAGGACAAAAUAUUUUUUAUUUUUUAAGUUUAUUAUUUUUCUUUUAUGUGCAUUGGUGUUUUGCCUGCACACAACACUGGAGAUCCCCCUGCAUCAGGCCCCCAGUGCCUGGAUUGCUGGCAUCCCACUAUAGUGAGGUCUAGCUGUGGGUGUGGGGAACCAGGGCUUUGAGGAAAGUCUCCAGAGCUGGUUGUACUUUUCAUCCCCGGGCUCUGGGAAGCUCCGGAUAUGCACCUUGGUGUGUUUGGGGUUGCCUGUGACUUCUGUGAUGUUCCACUUGCCUGUGGCUGCGUCCCCUUUAAGAGAGGCAGGGGUUUCCCCUUUAAGAGAGGCAGGAGGCUGUCAUGCUGUAGCCAGCGCCUUGGGGGAGCUAGCUGCCCUGGUUCCUGUUCUGGCUCGGCUGGUGACUUACUGUGGCUCCUCGGAGCUCCUAGGGCCUGGCUCGCCUGCCUGAAUUGUGCUCCUGCAAGUAGGCAGCAGUGAUAGGAGCCUUGAGGCACUGGGCGGUGGCCGCCCCUCCCCCACGCCUGCCCGACUUUUCUUUCUUCUGGUUUUUCUUUCUUUCUUUUUUUUCUGGGCAGGCAUUUGGCAAAGGCUUCAUUGUGUCUGCUACCGGCUCUGCCACCACGCCAGAGUGCCAAGCCGUGUCGAGAAUUUUUUUUUCCGCGUACUGCAAACAUGCCUAACUUUUGAAAAGCCCAUCUUGAGGUUCCCCAAACCAUAUCCACGUAGUGAUAUCAUCAAAAUUAUGGAUUAGUGCAGUGUCCUGAAGUCAGGAACCACGGGCUAGGAAAUCUGCUGCAUGGAAAUGCUGCAUUUCAGUAGAGUGUUGGGGGGAGGGGCUGUAAGCCCAGAAACCCAGAUCAGGAGACAAGGACAGUGGGCUGGCUACCUAGGGAAUUAGGGCCAGCCUGAGCUCUAUCAGACACUGUUGUGGGCAGCAAGAAACCACCACAGAGAAAAUGCCGGCUUUUCUUGCAUGAGCCGGUUUGUGCAAGGAUUUUUUGGAAAUGACGUUUAGGAGCUUUUGGGAUACUGUUUCGGCACUCAUUCUUCUUCACCUUUCUCUCAGGGAGAAGCUGUGGCCCACGCUUCUUCCUGUCUUAGUGGGCAGCCUUACCGAAGCAGUGCCGUUCCUAGGCAGAGGGGCAGACACUGGAGUCUGGGAGACAAGCAGCUUUUGUACCCGGAGCGUCAUGCUGAGCCAGCUGCAGGAGUCUGUGUGACUGACCCGCUCCUGUGCACAUCUCGUUUCUAAUUCCUGGCCUGGUGCAGUUGAAUGCAUGUGUAACUGAAUGGCCUAACUUCCUAACCUACUGCAACUUUUUCCUAUGUGGAGUUCAUUUUCUAAUGUCACCUACAUAAAAUACCUGUGACCUGUGACAUUUGCACUUAAAUAUGAGGGCCACGGAGGCAGUUACUAAGUGUAAGCCUACUGAUGGAGGCUGUACCCAGAGGAGAUGACCUGUCUUUUUCAAAGAGAAUGUUGUUUAUCAUGUGCCACAAUUCGUUAUGUCAUCACUACUAUUGAAAGGCUGUUUACAUGCUUGUGUUCAUAUUAUUUGUGAAGAAAAAUUUCUGAAAUAAAACUGUAUUUUGCUGUGAA